GGGUCAGUAGGUUGGUCGUGCCACCGGUACGUACUGGUCUCACUGAUUCCUCCUUCCCGAAGAACCGUAAUGCCAUUAAUUUGGUGUUGCGGGGAAACAGGACUGUUACUUUGAAAAAAUUAGAGUGUUUAAAGCAAGCUAACGCUUGAAUACACUAGCAUGGAAUAAUGAAAUAGGACGAUCGAUCCUAUUUUGUUGGUUUCUAGGAUUGACGUA
rnacentral:rRNA from 1 species